rnacentral:rRNA from 1 species
GACGAACGCUGGCGGCGUGCUUAACACAUGCAAGUCGAACGGUAAGGCCCUUCGGGGUACACGAGUGGCGAACGGGUGAGUAACACGUGGGUGAUCUGCCCUGCACUUCGGGAUAAGCCUGGGAAACUGGGUCUAAUACCGGAUAGGACCCUGGGAUGCAUGUCCUGGGGUGGAAAGCUUUUGCGGUGUGGGAUGGGCCCGCGGCCUAUCAGCUUGUUGGUGGGGUGAUGGCCUACCAAGGCGACGACGGGUAGCCGGCCUGAGAGGGUGACCGGCCACACUGGGACUGAGAUACUGCCCAGACUCCUACGGGAGGCAGCAGUGGGGAAUAUUGCACAAUGGGCGCAAGCCUGAUGCAGCGACGCCACGUGAGGGAUGACGGCCUUCGGGUUGUAAACCUCUUUCAGCACCGACGAAGCGCAAGUGACGGUAGGUGCAGAAGAAGGACCGGCCAACUACGUGCCAGCCGCCGCUGUAAGAC